UACGGAAGGCAGCAGUGGGGAAUAUUGCACAAUGGGCGCAAGCCUGAUGCAGCCAUGCCGCGUGUAUGAAGAAGGCCUUCGGGUUGUAAAGUACUUUCAGUCGUGAGGAAGGUGUUAAGGUUAAUAACCUUAGCAAUUGACGUUAGCGACAGAAGAAGCACCGGCUAACUCCGUGCCAGCAGCCGCGGUAAUACGGAGGGUGCGAGCGUUAAUCGGAAUUACUGGGCGUAAAGGGCACGCAGGCGGUUAAUUAAGUUGGAUGUGAAAUCCCCGGGCUUAAACCUGGGAAUGGCAUUCAAGACUGGUUAGCUAGAGUCUUGUAGAGGGGGUAGAAAUUCCAUGUGUAGCGGUGAAAUGCGUAGAGAUGUGGAGGAAUACCGGUGGCGAAGGCGGCCCCUGGGACAAAGACUGACGCUCAUGUGCGAAAGCGUGGGGAGCAAAACAGGGAUUAGAUACC
rnacentral:rRNA from 1 species